CAUAGCGACUAUCGUGGCAUAUCAAUAAGCGGAGGAAAAGAAACUAACAAGGAUUCCCUUAGUAACGGCGAGUGAAGCGGGAAGAGCUCAAAUUUGAAAUCUUCAAGGUUUUACCUUGACGAAUUGUAGUUUAAAGGAGUGUUUUCUGUUGGAGUUUUGGUAAAAGUUCUUUGGAAUAGGACAUCAUAGAGGGUGAGAAUCCCGUAUUUGACCAUUACUUUCCAGCUGUGUGAUACACUUUCAAAGAGUCGGAUUGUUUGGGAAUGCAGUCCAAAAUGGGUGGUAAAUUUCAUCUAAAGCUAAAUAUUGGCGAGAGACCGAUAGCGAACAAGUACCGUGAGGGAAAGAUGAAAAGAACUUUGAAAAGAGAGUUAAACAGUACGUGAAAUUGUCAAAAGGGAAGCGUUUGACACCAGUGUUGUUUUCUCGAAAAUCAAUUAAAAAAGGCCGGAUUUUGUGUUGUAUUGACCUUAAAAGCUUUCUUCACUCUUUUCUUGUCUUUUUUAAUGCACUUUUCGUUUAACAAGUCAACAUCAGUUUCUUUUGUUGUAAAAGGGUCAUUGGAAGGUGGCUUUCUUUUCGGAGAAAGUGUUUAUAGCCUUUGAUCUCUGCAACCGGAGAGACUGAGGUCUGCAGCGUAGACUCUUCGGGGUUAAAUACAUUUGUGCUAAGCUAUAGCUUUUUAUAGACAACUUGUUGACUAUAGUUUAGUCUUGUAAGCUUACUCGCUUAUGCUAUUUUACCUACGCUUAGGAUGUUGAUAGUCACAGCGUGUAC
rnacentral:rRNA from 1 species